AAAAAAUAGUUAAAAAUCUAUGAUUUCAACAGUGAGGAUUCUCCUUACACUAAUUGAACCUUUAACAGAGUCAAGCUGUUUAUCAUUUAUCACUAAGUAGUCGAGGGGUAGCCAAUCUUUGCCUUAUAUCACUGAUAUUGUGUCAAUACUGGCUUAGUCAAAAAGCCCAUGCAUCAUCCAGCAUACAAUAAGCUCAGUACUUCAGAAAAUUUGUGUUUUCAUCAAUAUGGAUAUUCUAUUUGUUCAGUUUCUAAUAAAUCUAAAUCUUAACAAAACGCCUUUGUGAGCUAAUGGUAUUCCUUCAAAUCAAUUAGUACUAUCUUUUUGGUGAUUAAUUCUUCUAAAUUUACAUAAGUUUGUCCUUAAACAAGAAAGUUCAUUCAUGUUCAAAGACUUUCAGAAAGUUAAGACAUAAAAUAGCUUGUUCUGGUUUUGCUUUAGGCAACCAAUGGUCACCUCGACAAUGUGAUGGGACAUUGGAGUAGGAAUUGAAUGGGGUUGCUAAGAUUAUUUCUAAUCAUUUUCAAAGAACCUUUACUUUAUUUUUUAAGGCCAGUAAACCAGCUAAAAGUCCUUAACUGUUUCACACAAGAAACACUGACAUAAUCUCUUUUUUCUAUUAUGUUAAAUUUGACAAUCUCUACUAUGACUGAAAGGGUAAAAAAGGGUGUCUUUUCCAUCUUUCUGUCUAGUCUUCCUUGAUAUUUGUAAUGCUGCACUUGAACAAUCAAAGUACUCCUGUCUAUCACUGUGUGUUCAUGUUGCACAUAUGACCAAAGAAUACAAGAUAACAUUUUAUUGAAGUAUGUCCAGAAAAAUAUGAUUAAAUGUUACUAUUACAUUUUUUAAAGACACAUUAUUUCUUUGUUAUUCUAGAACAACCCUUAUGGUUGCUAUCAGUGUGGAAUCAAUAGGCUUGGUCACUCUUCUUCUUCAAAAUAAUGCUGAUUACACUCUCCAAGAUAUUGCUGGAUGGACAGCUCAGACGUAUGCUGAGCGGUAUGGUUAUCCUGUACAUAUUUAUCACAAACAAAUUGAAAAACAACUGGAACGUAAUAGUUCCUGUACACCCCAAAUCAGCUGUUCAGAGGAGAUUUCUGGCAUUGUGCCAUCCCUGGAAGAAAAAGCAGAAGAAAGUUCUUCGGAAGAUUCUAUAAGCAGACUCUCUGACAAAACAGGACCUGAUGAUACCUUGCCAAGCACAGAUGAUGAAAUGGAUUUUGAUACGGAGGUAAAGUUUCUUUAUUGUAUUUUUAUACUCUUAUAUUUCAGUUCAGGGGGAGUUUCGCUUUGUUAAAUGUUGUAAACAUAUUCUACAAUCUCUUUAGUAUUUAAUACCAAAGAUUCAAAUGGAGUUAAAUGGACCCAAACAAUUUUAAUGCAC
rnacentral:lncRNA from 1 species